AUAGGCUUAAUGACCUUUUAGCCCUUGAAGUUUGGGUGGAAGUUCCGAUGCGGCCUCGAAGUUUAAAAACGUACCUUUCGACCCUCAAAGUAUCUUUUUCGUACCUUUUAGCCCUUAUGGCGUAUACCGGUAUAUAACGGGAUGGACAAAGUUGACAUUUCACACGUGAGGGUUAAAAGGGGCAUUAAACAUUAAGGGUUAAAAGGAACAUCUAAUGUUUUUUAAUGUAUUCUUUAGGGGUUAAAAGGAACGAGAUGUAUACUUUAAGGGUUAAAAGGUACGCCCAAAUUUUACCCCGAAUAUGAAUUGUCAAGUUUAUCCCCCGAUUUAUACCGGUAUUUUUAAAAAGGGCUAAAAGGUACAACAAAGAUACUUUGAGGGUCGAAAGGUACGUUUUUAAAUUUCGAGGCCGCAUCGGAAUAUCCACCCAUACUUCGAGGGCUAAAAGGUCAUUAAGCCUAUAAUAUAUGUUACUUACUUCACUUGUAUCUUAUCUAAUAUCUCACAUUUACAUUCAGCCGGCAUGAGCAGCCUCACUUUCAUAAACCAUAAACCCUAAUUUUGCCGGUUAUUCAAUCGAUUCACAAAUCAAUUCGAGAUUUAAGAAUCUCCGAUUCAAAUUUAAAGAUAUCAGAUCUCCAAGGUUCGUUGAUAUCCAAGGAUGUUCAACGGAUGAAUCAUAGUAUUUCGACUGAUGAAGGCCGUACUACUUUUGAUGGAUGAAGAUCAAGAACCUUCAACUGCUAAAGCUGGUACAGUGUUCGAUGGAUGAAGUCUGCAAAUGAAUCGAUGGAUGAAGCAUCUUUCAACGGAUGAAGCAAUAGCCGUUGAAAGUGACUGAAGCUUAAUUCUGACAGAUCACAUGGAUUGAUUACACUAAUUUGGACAUGGUAGCCUAUUUAGGACAAUAAAGAAGAAAUAGAAACACAUUUGUUAUAUGCAAUGCAACUUGGAUUAUUUGAGGAAGAUCAGUCAAAGAUGAAAACAUUUCAGAAGACAUGCAUAAGACAAAUGUGUUGUAGCAAGGUUUAGAUUAGAGUUCAAAUUUGUAUCCUAGUUAACUUUGUAAACUUGGGAUAUAUAACCAAGUUAGAAACAACAAUAAUUCUU